GAUGAACGCUGGCGGUAUGCCUAAUACAUGCAAGUCGUGCGCCCUGCACAGUGUGCUUUUAAAUGUCUGUAACAGAUAGUAAAAGAGCAUAAUGUGCAGGGAGCGGCGGACGGGUGCGUAACACAUGGGAAUCUGCCCCAAACUGAGGGAUAACUACUCGAAAGAGUAGCUAAUACCGCAUAUGGUCUUCGGAUUAAAGCCUUCGGGCGGUUUGGGAGGAGCCUGUGGCAGAUUAGUUAGUUGGUGAGGUAAUGGCUCACCAAGACGAUGAUCUGUAGCUGGUCUGAGAGGAUGAUCAGCCACACUGGGACUGAGACACGGCCCAGACUCCUACGGGAGGCAGCAGUAGGGAAUUUUCCACAAUGGGCGAAAGCCUGAUGGAGCAAUACCGCGUGCAGGAUGACAGCCUUCGGGUCGUAAACUGCUUUUAUACGAGAAGAUUAUGACGGUAUCGUAUGAAUAAGCCUCGGCUAACUCCGUGCCAGCAGCCGCGGUCAGACGGAGGAGGCAAGCGUUAUCCGGAGUGACUGGGCGUAAAGAGAUGCGUAGGCGGUAUGUAAAGCGAACAGUGAAAUCUCAAAGCUCAACUUUGAGGCUACUGUUUGAACUUACAUACUAGAGCAUGAUAGGGGAAACUGGAAUUCCUAGUGUAGGAGUGAAAUCCGUAGAUAUUAGGAGGAACACCAAUGGCGAAGGCAGGUUUCUGGAUCAUUGCUGACGCUCAGGCUCGAAAGUGUGGGUAGCGAACAGGAUUAGAUACCCUGGUAGUCCACACCGUAAACGAUGGAUACUAGCUAGUUGGGGGUAUCGACCCCCUCAGCAGCGAAGCUAACGCGUUAAGUAUCCCGCCUGGGGAGUACGGUCGCAAGAUUAAAACUCAAAGGAAUAGACGGGGACCCGCACAAGCGGUGGAGCGUGUUCUUUAAUUGGAUGAUAAGCCAAGAACCUUACCCAGACUUGACAUCCCGAGAAGGACUGCGAAAGCAGACUGUGCUUUAUUGAACUCGGUGACAGGUGCUGCAUGGCCGUCGUCAGCUCGUGUCGUGGGAUGUUUGGUUAAGUCCAUCAACGAGCGCAACCCCUAUGAUUAGUUGGAUUUUUCUAAUCAGACUGCCUCGGUAACGGGGAGGAAGGAGGGGACGACGUCAGGUCAUUAUUGCCCUUAUGUCUGGGGCGAGAAACGCGCUACAAUGGCCGGUACAAAGGGGAGCGAAGUCGCGAGACGGAGCAAAUCUCAUCAAAGCCGGUCUCAGUUCGGAUUGGAGGCUGAAACCCGCCUCCAUGAAGUCGGAAUCGCUAGUAACCGUGGGUCAGAAUACCGCGGUGAAUACGUUCCCGGGUCUUGUACUCACCGCCCGUCAUACCAUGGAAGUCGCCAACACCCGAAAGCUGAUCAUUAAGAUCGGUCUAAGGUGGGGGAGAUGACUGGGGUA
rnacentral:rRNA from 1 species